rnacentral:rRNA from 1 species
UUUCCUACGGGGGGCAGCAGUAGGGAAUCUUCCACAAUGGGCGAAAGCCUGAUGGAGCAACGCCGCGUGGGUGAAGAAGGUCUUCGGAUCGUAAACUUCUGUCCUUGGGGAAGAAGAACUGACGGUACCCGAGGAGGAAGCCCCAGCUAACUACGUGCCAGCAGCCGCGGUAAUACGUAGGUGGCAAGCGUUAUCCGGAUUUAUUGGGCGUAAAGGGAACGCAGGCGGUCUUUUAAGUCUGAUGUGAAAGCCUUCGGCUUAACCGGAGUAGUGCAUUGGAAACUGGGAGACUUGAGUGCAGAAGG